UGGCUCAGCCUCAGGGAGACUUACUGCUGCUGACUCUUGUUGUGUUCCUAUGCCAGGCUCUAGUCCAUGGUGCUACUCCAACUCCACUUGCUUACAUCAGGUGACUCUGGGAUUUGUAGGCCACAGUCAUAGCCAGAACUAAGAAAGCAGGGCAGAACAUCUCUGUAAUCUGGGGAAGACAUUAGGGCUGGAAGGGACUUUGGAAGAUCAUCGAAUCCAGCCCCAAAAUGUUUUUGCCCACCCACGCCCCAGGAGAAUCUCAGCAGCUCCACCCAGACUUCAACUCACAACCUCUGCAAUCUUCACUCUUCAACUGAACCAUGGAUCCACACAAAGAGAGCAAACCCUUCUGGCUGCCAAACCCAUGACACCCUAAUGGGGUUGAAUUUUCAAGAGAUAGGCGGCCAA